rnacentral:lncRNA from 1 species
UGCGAUAUUUGAGAAUCACCGUCAAUACCUCGGUGUAGGUGUCCGGGAUAAUCCUUUGUUCCAUAGUCUCGAGGCUAUUUACAACCAACCAAUUAAGAAUUAUCAAAUGGACUAGUACUAGCAAAUGCCUCAAAGAUGCAGUCAUCGAUUCUCCCGAGAGGCCACAAUUACCGCGAGCAAACACAUUAAUUUAAUGACGAGGAGCGCAUUUUUUCUAUGCUACUAAUACUUAUACUUGCUCAGCUAUUCUGCCCAAGC